rnacentral:rRNA from 2 species
CCUGGCGGCUGUAGCGCGGUGGUCCCACCUGACCCCAUGCCGAACUCAGAAGUGAAACGCCGUAGCGCCGAUGGUAGUGUGGGGUCUCCCCAUGCGAGAGUAGGGAACUGCCA